AGAAAGUAAUGCAAGAACUGCUAACUCAUGCUUCCGCGCCUACACCCGUGGCUUUCUC
rnacentral:tRNA from 1 species